AGAAUGGCCCCGAACUAUAGCGUCAGCUCCACUAGAGACCAGAGAAACCUUCCAGUGUCAGCCAUCUGUGCUGUGAUGAUUACAGCCUUUUGGAAAGUCUGAAGAGAAAAGAGAAAGUUAUUAAGAACAAGAUGCAGCACAUCCUGGAAGUUUGGAGGCUAAGGGCUGAAGUGCGGGCCAGUUAAAAACAGGGCUGGAUUUCCAAUUAGGCACAGUAGAUAAGCAAAAUGGUCCUGAACCAGGAAGCGGCCAAGUUCUGUUGGGGUGUGGGAACUGCAUGGCAGCCGGGAGCUGGAGAGAAGCCCCAGGAACUGUGGACAGAGCCACAUGAGGAACAGGCUGGGACAUACAGUUGGGUGCAGGUCUGUGUGGAACUUACCGGGGAGCAGCGGUGACUGGGCAGAGAUCCAUCACAGAGGGGCCCCACUGAAAGACACUAUCUGAGCUUGGUCUGUAAGCCCACAAGCUCCUGUUUGCUGGAACAGAGACUGGACUGGCAAGGGCACCCCAGGCACUAGGCCUGAAGAGUCCUAACUCUCAGUUGGACUGCCUCCCAGGAGCCCAAACAAGAACCACUAUC